CGUGAUUCAUUUUGGUAUCUACAUAGUAUUAAAACCUGACACAAAGUUAUGGAAAAAAUAGCCGAACGACUAAUUAAACCAUACAUAAUAUCCUUCACCUGGCCACGAUAGGGAAAAGCGUAAUUUUUCAAAGGAAAAAACAAAGGAAACGUAGGGAAAAGAGAGGAAGUGUCAUUGAGAAAGUUGAUUAUGCCCCUAAUAAUUUGCGUCUCCACGACUAAAGAGAGGAACAAAGGAAUUGCAGGGAAACAGGCGGUCCUUUUCGUUGCUCCUAUGUUCCUUCUACAGGAAACACAGUCGCUCUGACGUUACAUAAUUUCCAAUUAGUCGACUGGGAACAGGCGCCGCGGAGGAUACAGAAUCUAUGGAGUAAAUGAAACGCGAAAGGAAAAUGGAUAAUGAUGUCUGCGUUAAACAGGAAUUUUGAGAUUGAAAUGUGAACAUACAUGUGUGUGUAUUGUCGCUCUCUGUGUCAAUCGACAAACAAAAUAACCACGUCUCAUGGCCGAAAGUGAGCGGAAACAGAAUGGUUGCCACGAGUUGAUCGGUGAAGUGUAACGCGGAUCCAUAAGUCAUGAGAUGAAGCACGUUCAAACGACCCUCGACAAACUGAACGAGCGUUGACACGAUGUAAAAGACGCGAGAACACGAAGAGAUUUGUUAUUCUCCUUUUACGUAAUCAAAUAGUCAGGAACAAUCUCGCAUUGCGACUUUUAUUUCGUUCUCUAUUACGCUAUACGAGGAAUUGAAAAAAAAGAAAAAAUAAAACAAAACUGUUUCAAUAGAAAUUAUGAAACACAAGGAUGGUUAACGAAUUGCAAAUGAAAGUAAGGAUUUCCUAGGACACGAUGGAAAUGUUUGCCGCCAAUUUGAUCAAGAACUGAAUUCUGCAUUACUUGCAAAUGUCUAUUGAAUAAAUUCAAGAGGAUCGAAAAGGCUACUACCCUCUCGAGGCUUUGUUCCUUUAUUUUUAUUUUUAUCUGCAAAUCAAAUUAACCGACCGCAUAAUGUUCAUGGAAGAACCUUCAUCCUUCCAUUCUUUUAUCCGCAUUAUUUUCUUCCUUCUCACAGAGUUUCCUUUCUUAUGGGGUAGAAACCGUAUCCUGUGAUGUAUGAUGUCGGCAGAUUCUAUCUAACGAUUCGGAACGACCGCAUUGAACUUUGUAAUCAGCUAUUCCCGACUUCGUUAGAAUACGUUUGCUUCGAAUGGUAUUCAUAUUGGUAUUACGAUUGGGCUAUUCUUCAAUGUUCUUUUCAAAGUUCCACCAACAUUCAUCUCUCUUAAGAAUACUUAACUUUUAUAGAUGUUGGAACAUUAAGUUCUAUUACAAAAUUCUCAUUGCUAAAAUAAUUGUAUUCUAGUAUUAAAAGAUUUUAACAUUAUAGAAUUUGCAGAAUUUUGAUUUUCCAAAUCUUAUUGCUUGGAAAUUUACUUCAAAAUACAGAAAAGAUCAUUAUAUUCCUUAAGAAUUUUUUUAAAAUUAAAUAUUUUUAUAUUUAUUCUAUC